rnacentral:rRNA from 1 species
UACAGAGGUGGCAAGCGUUUGUUCGGAAUUACUGGGCGUAAAGGGCGCGUAGGCGGCGACCCAAGUCAGAUGUGAAAGUCCUGGGCUUAACCUGGGGACUGCAUUUGAUACUGGGUUGCUUGAAUUCGGGAGAGGGUAGCGGAAUUCCCCAGUGUAGAGGUGAAAUUCGUAGAUAUUGGGAAGAACACCGGUGGCGAAGGCGGCUAUCUGGACCGACAUUGACGCUGAGGCGCGAAAGCGUGGGGAGCAAACAGG